rnacentral:rRNA from 1 species
ACCGAAAACUUUGCGUGCGCGCUGACAUACGUGGUGAAUAACG